UGCCAGGGCUUCAGAGCACCUUCCUAGCCAUGGACACGGAGGAGGGGGUAGAGGUGGUGUGGAACGAGCUCCACUUCGGAGACAGGAAGGCCUUUGCCGCGCACGAGGUGAGACAGCUGCCCCCUCCUCAUCCUGCCUGGGUGACCACCUGCUGACCACCCAGCGACCACCCUCCCUCCCCAGGAGAAGAUCCAGACCGUGUUCGAGCAGCUGGUGCUGGUGGACCACCCCAACAUCGUGAAGUUGCACAAGUACUGGCUGGAUACUUCUGAGGCCUGCGCGAGGGUGAGCACGGGCAAGGCCCCGGGCAGGCAGAGACCACAGCUAGGUGGGGCGGGCAUGGGGACGAACCCGCAGCUGGUGGAAAUCCUGAGCUCGCACCCUGCAGGUCAUCUUCAUCACAGAGUACGUGUCAUCAGGCAGCCUCAAGCAAUUCCUCAAAAAGACCAAGAAGAACCACAAGGCCAUGAACGCCCGGGUAUGGGGAGCCGGCUGGGGCAGCCACGGGGACAGGACGGGGUUGGGGCAGCCUCGGGGACUGGGAUGGUGAGGGGGUGCCCGGCGGCCUCGGACAGGGGCUGGGCGAGGAUGCGGGGCGGGCUCCGCAGGCCCAGCCGCCUCUCCUGCGCCCACCCGACGGAGUCGUGCGUCCGCCGCCAGGCCUGGAAGCGCUGGUGCACGCAGAUCCUGUCUGCGCUCAGCUUCCUGCACGCCUGCAGCCCCCCGAUCAUCCACGGGAACCUGACCAGCGACACCAUCUUCAUUCAGCACAACGGCCUCAUCAAGAUCGGCUCCGUGUGGCAUCGAAUCUUCUCCAAUGGUAGGUGCGGACUCUGGGGGGAUGGGGUCCUGGAGAAGUCCCCACCGGCUGAGCCUCUGCGCCCUUCCACAGCGCUUCCAGAUAAUCUCCGAAGCCCCAUCCGCGCUGAGCGAGAGGAACUUCGGAACCUGCACUUCUUCCCCCCAGAGUACGGGGGUGAGUGGCACUGGGUCCGGGUGCCCCGUGCCUGCCCUGCGCUUCUCUCCUACCUGUCCUGUUCUCUCUCCUGUUCAGAGGUGGCCGAUGGGACCGCUGUGGACAUCUUCUCCUUUGGGAUGUGUGCGCUGGAGAUGGCUGUACUGGAAAUCCAGACCAACGGGGACACCCGGGUCACAGAGGAGGCCAUUGCUCGCGCCAGGCACUCGCUGAGUGACCCCAACAUGCGGGAGUUCAUCCUUUGCUGCCUGGCCCGGGACCCUGCCCACCGGCCUUCUGCCCACAGCCUCCUCUUCCACCGCGUGCUCUUCGAGGUGCACUCGCUGAAGCUCCUGGCAGCCCACUGCUUUAUCCAGCACCAGUACCUCAUGCCUGAGAAUGUGGUGGAGGAGAAGACCAAGGCCAUGGACCUGCACGCGGUCUUGGCGGAGCUUCCCCGGCCCCGCAGGCCCCCGCUGCAGUGGCGGUACUCGGAAGUCUCCUUCAUGGAACUGGACAAAUUCCUGGAGGAUGUCAGGUGAGAACUGAUGUAAGGUUGGGGGCCAGGCAGCUGUCAGGCCUGAACCCCCAGCCACCCUGGUGUGUCCCCAGGAAUGGGAUCUACCCACUGAUGAACUUUGCAGUUACUCGGCCCCUGGGGCUGCCCCGUGUGCUGGCCCCACCCCCAGAGGAGGUCCAAAAGGCCAAGACCCCGACGCCAGAGCCCUUUGACUCUGAGACCAGAAAGGUCAUCCAGAUGCAGUGCAACCUGGAGAGAAGCGAGGACAAGGCGCGCUGGCAUCUUACUCUGCUUCUGGUGCUGGAGGACCGGCUGCACCGGCAGCUGACCUACGACCUGCUCCCAACGGACAGCGCCCAGGACCUCGCCUCGGAGCUCGUGCACUACGGCUUCCUCCACGAGGACGACCGGAUGAAGCUGGCCGCCUUCCUGGAGAGCACCUUCCUCAAGUACCGUGGGACCCAGGCCUGACCCGGAGCCCCAGCCCCAGGGGACCAUGCCGGGGUGCUGCCUGGGCAGGCCAUGUUAGGGAGACCCCAGCACCGCGGGGCUGCCCUCCUUCAUGUGCCUGGGAGCACAAAGGCCCCGGUAGUGAAGGAACC
rnacentral:sRNA from 1 species